rnacentral:rRNA from 1 species
UCUUGGUUCCAUUAGAGGAAGUA